rnacentral:misc_RNA from 1 species
GAUGAAGAACGUAGCGAAAUGCGAUAAGUAAUGUGAAUUGCAGAAUUCAGUGAAUCAUCGAAUCUUUGAACGCACAUUGCGCCCGGCAGCAAUCUGCCGGGCAUGCCUGUCCGAGCGUCAUUUCUUCCCUCGAGCGCGGCUAGCCAUACGGGGCCUGCCGUCGCCCGGUGUUGGGGCUCUACGGGUGGGGCUCGUCCCCCCCGCAGUCCCCGAAAUGUAGUGGCGGUCCAGCCGCGGCGCCCCCUGCGUAGUAGAUCCUACAUCUCGCAUCGGGUCCCGGCGAAGGCCAGCCGUCGAACCUUUUAUUUCAUGGUUUGACCUCGGAUCAGGUAGGGUUACCCGCUGAACUUAAGCAUAUCAAUAAGCGGAGGA